AAGAUAGAGGCCUGUAGCAAAGUUUGUUACUGAAGAUUUUGUUGGGCUAGCUUGAUCAACAGGCUUAUGAGGUCCUGAGCCUGUAUCCUAACCUAAGAUUGAGACUUCCAUUUUAGAGCCUGAAUUAUCAGUAACAUAGGAAGAUAGAAGAGAAACCAGUACAAAAGAUCAAGAGACAAAGUACAAGAUUUGAAUGAGAUCUUGAAAAUGACCCAAGAAAAAAAUGAAAUGUUUGAAAGUGAGUGGUCAAAAGAGAGAGAGUGAGAGAAGCAGUUGUCAUCUGGUCCUGACACUGUAGAGAAGGCCUGGAAAGUUGAAAGUGAGGAAUUGCAAAAAUCGAAGUCAGAGCUUAUAUGCCUUUAUAAUGAAGUUCACAAUCUUCAAGGGGAAUCAGAAAGCAGAGACCAUUUUUUAAAAGCAUGUGACCUGUUACAAAGAGAGAAUUCUGAAUUAGAAACAAAG